UACUAAUAAACAGCUAAUAUCCUAGUAAUAUGCAUGCUAAUAAGAAACUAGUUAAUAGUGAGAAUUAGACUCUAAACUAAAGUGUUACCAAUCUUAGUUAAUGUUAAUUUCAACAUUUAGUAGUACAUUAUGGAAAUCAAAUGUUGUAUUGGUUAACAUUAGUUAAUACACUGAACUAACAUGAACAAACAAUGAACAACUGGAUUUUUAUUAACUAACAUUAACAAAGAUUAAUAAAAACUGUAACAAAUGUAUUGUUCAUGGUUAGUUCAUGUUAGUUAAUACAUUAACUAAUGUUAACGAAUGAGACCUUAUUGUAAAGUGUUACUGAAGGUAAAAAAAAAAAAAAAUGGUUUAUUUCAAAGUAACCUAUGAAUUAUAAUACGAAUAUAUAGACUUCAGCAUUUCAGCUAUUCAGCUGUUUUAAAAAUGAAAUCUGAAGUGGCUUCAAUAUCAUCACUUAACAACUUCAGAGCGCAUGGUAGAUCAUUCGUGAAGGGUUUAUAACUUAUUGUUAAAAAUCAAUUUCUCUAUGGAGAAAGUGAAUGAGAUUUUUACUCUCAGAACACGACUGUUAAGCUCCAUUGUGUUUUAGAGUGUUUUGUGUUUAUGUGUGUAUGUUUGAAAGGACAGCGAUUUAUUGAGAACAGCAACAUGGCAGCCUGUUUCAUCUUCUGAAGAAUGUUACACAAGCCUGAGACACCUACCCACCAUCACUCAUCAGUUUCUGCCCUUCCUCAACACAUUGUCUGCAUGUCUGGACAGAUGACAGCUUGAUUGACAGCUUUUUCGAGGAAUAUUGACAGGCUGUCGCAGUUGAGAGAGGGAUGUGCCUUAGGAGGUGACCGUGUCACUAUGCGUCCCAUCAGUCCUUGGGGUGGCAGAAGGAGGCCUUGGGAGAUAAAACUGCAUCUGUAGGUGGUACCAAGGUGAAAAGAAGAAUAGCUACUUUACUGAUGCUUACUUGGAUUACACAGAUCACGUGCAAUUUGAUUGCCCAGGCUGUUCUCUGAGGGCAAGCUUUGUUUCUGAUCUCUGGAAACCCUGGAUUUAAAGGAUAAAAAUGAACUCUCUUUAAUUUCAUGGGCUGCUGAUUGGAUCAAAACCAGGACUGCUGUGUGUUUAAACGAGUAUGAGAGUGAAUUAGUAAAUACUUGAAACAAUGACAGCAUCAAAUGAUUCAUGCAGUGACUCAAGUAGAGCAUUUUAUAACUGUCUCUUUGUUCCCCUCUCGUAUUUUAUUAUCUUCCCCAUCCUCACGUCUUUCCAGUCUAACGUAGUGUCUGUCCGCUGAUGGGUGGUGGACCGGAGGGAAGUAUUACCUGAGCAAAAUCACUCUGCACUCAUUAGGCUGUCCAAUCACAGCAGGGCAGCCAAUCAGUCUAUUUUUAGCCCACCGUUUUGCAUUCCAGACCAUCAAUCAAACUCGGACGUGGUCCACGCAGGCGCUUUUGCUAAGCUCUGAACUGUCGCAUAUUAGAAAAGCCCAGUAAAAUCUACUGUACGUUCUGUUGAUCUGUCAGUUUAUCAGCAGGGGAAAUUAAUUCAUGAGAUUUUCAUGAGGCAAAUGAGAUUUAAUAUGCAGCCCGGUAUUUAGCACAGCAAGACUCCUGCAGAGUUUUGAAAAUAUUUAUAUAAACUCCACUACGCAGAGAAGUCUUUCUGAAUUUUAAUUUUUAAAAUCUUGUACCUUACAGUUAUCUCCAUGUCCAUUAGUGCACUUCUAAUUUCUCAUGAAUACUUAAUUCUAGUAGAGGUUAACUGAGUCCUGCCCUUUGUGUAAUAGACUCACUAGCUCACCAUAUUCUAAUUGCUUUUUGGCUUUGCCUAACUUCCUUACAUGACCAUGAUCAUCCUUAUAUAGGAAGGAGGUUGAACAGCAGCGAUAGAAACGAUAUG